UACGUAGGGUGCAAGCGUUGUCCGGAAUUAUUGGGCGUAAAGAGCUCGUAGGCGGUUUGUUGCGUCGGCUGUGAAAUCCCGAGGCUCAACCUCGGGUCUGCAGUCGAUACGAGCAAACUAGAGUGUUGCAGGGGAGACUGGAAUUCCUGGUGUAGCGGUGAAAUGCGUAGAUAUCUGGAGGAACACCGGUGGCGAAGGCGGCGUCCUGGACCAACACUGACACUGAGGAGCGAAAGCCAGGGGAGCAAACGGG
rnacentral:rRNA from 1 species